GGGGGCGGAGGGGGCCUGGUGGCCCCACCAGUCUUCAAAACUGGCUGGCCCGGCUGAAACCCGGGUUGGUGGGUUCGAUUCCCACACGCUCCCGCCA
rnacentral:tRNA from 1 species